rnacentral:sRNA from 1 species
UGAAGCCCAAGCCAGUGGAUGCUACUGACCCUGCUGCCCUCAUAGCAGAGGCUCUGAAAAAGAAAUUUGCUUAUCGGUAUCGAAGUGAUAGCCAAGAUGAAGUUGAAAAAGGAAUUCCAAAGUCUGAAUCAGAGGCCACCUCAGAGAGAGUGUUGUCCCUUCCAGCUGGCUUUAUUCAGCCCCACAUGUCCAAGCAUUGUCUGGGAUAGCCUUGUAUUGGAAAACCUGGCCCAUUCUGUAAAUAAAGGCUCCACUAGUGCCUGAGAUCUGAAGGCAGAAGGAAGAUUCAAAUAGAAAGAAUAAUGGCCCAUUCAACAGCUGACUCCUACAGACAUUUUGACUAAGAUGCCUGUUGCAGUUCCCCUGAGCAACUUAACAACUGUGUUUUCAAGGUUAAACUCAAGAACCAAUCAGUUAUCUGUAAAUGAAUAUCCAACUUUUCUGGAAGGAAAAAGGUAACAUGUUAAUAUAAACAGCAAAUACAUACAUCAUUUAUAAAACUGCCUCAGAUCAAUUAACAAGAUAAACAUACUUAAAAAAAA